GCCCACGAUGGCUACAGAGCUCCAAGGAGGAGGCUUCCUGGAGGAGGCGGCCCAGCUCAUCAGAGAACCAGCAUGUCUUCCCCUUGGGUUCUGGGACCAGCACUUUUAACGAUAAGUCCUUUUGGACCACGCUGAUCCGGGCUGAGACCUGUCGCCUGCCGCGCGCCUUGGGCGGAGGUUAGACAGGCCGCGCACCUCCAAGCUUUGACACGUCCUUCCUCCAAAGGGUGGAGGCCCCACAGGGACCUCUGCCAUCGGAACCGCGGGUUUCUGCCGGGCCGGAGGCGCCUGAGAGAUCUCCGCGGAACGGCGCGUGAACCUGCGGCCGCGGCGGCGGGUCCGGAUGGAGAUGGACGCUGGAUGGGCUGUUUCCUGAGUUUGGUUCCCGUGGCGGGGUCGGCCCCUCGCCCCUGCAUUUGGCAGACCUGAUGCGGAGCCCGAGGGUGGCUGUUGGCCUGGGGCGGGGAAGGGGCUCUCUAGAUCGGGGGUCCCACCUGCUGGGCUUGGGGAGCCCAUUUGGCCUUCUCUGAUUGGUCUGGAGUUGCAGGUGAGGCCACCUCAGGAAGCUGCUGUAUCUGAGGGAGCCCGGGCCGCCCUGGGGGACGCUGGGGUUUGACUUCUGGGGCUGGGGGCUGCACGGGUGGGUCGGGGUCUGUCUGGGUUGGGGUCCGCGGCCGCGUGGGGUCUGGAUUGGCGUCUGCCUGGCUUGGGGGUCCUCAGCCGCAUGCAGUUUGGGUCGAGGUCGGGGGUCCGCGGCCGCGUGGGGUCUGGGUCGGGGUCUGCCUGGCUUGGGGGUCCUCAGCCGCAUGCAGUUCGGGUCGAGGUCUGCAGCUGCGUGGGGUCCGGCUCUCAUGGCCCCUGUGCCUGGACUUCGCUCUC
rnacentral:lncRNA from 1 species